UACGUAGGGUGCGAGCGUUGUCCGGAAUUAUUGGGCGUAAAGGGCUCGUAGGCGGUCUGUCGCGUCGGGAGUGAAAACUCAGGGCUUAACCCCUGAGCCUGCUUCCGAUACGGGCAGACUAGAGGUAUGCAGGGGAGAACGGAAUUCCUGGUGUAGCGGUGAAAUGCGCAGAUAUCAGGAAGAACACCCGUGGCGAAGGCGGCUCUCGUGGGACGGUACUGACGCUGAGACGCGAAAGCGUGGGGAGCAAACAGG
rnacentral:rRNA from 1 species